rnacentral:sRNA from 1 species
CUCUAGCCCCGAUUGAAGAGAAAAUCCUUUUUUGAAAAAAAAGAUUGCAACGAAAAGCGGGAUAUAGC